rnacentral:rRNA from 1 species
AGAGUUUGAUCCUGGCUCAGGACGAACGCUGGCGGUGUGCUUAACACAUGCAAGUGGCGCGACGAACCAGAGCUUGCUCUGGGGCAAAGCCGCGAACGGGUGAGUAACACGUGGGUAACCUGCCCCGAUGACUGGGACAACCCGGGGAAACCCGGGCUAAUACCGGAUGAUGCAUCCCGGCUUAAGCCGGUAUGUCAAAGGUAGCUUCGGCUUCCGCAUUGGGAGGGGCCCGCGGCCCAUUAGCUUGUUGGUGGGGUAAUGGCCUACCAAGGCAACGAUGGGUAGCUGGUCUGAGAGGACGAUCAGCCACACUGGGACUGAGACACGGCCCAGACUCCUACGGGAGGCAGCAGUGGGGAAUCUUGCGCAAUGCGCGAAAGCGUGACGCAGCAACACCGCGUGAGGGAAGACGGCCUUAGGGUUGUAAACCUCUUUCAGUUGGGACGAAGGUUCGACGGUGAAUAGCCGGCCGGACUGACGGUACCUUCAGAAGAAGCUCCGGCUAACUACGUGCCAGCAGCCGCGGUAAUACGUAGGGAGCGAGCGUUGUCCGGAAUCAUUGGGCGUAAAGAGCGCGUAGGUGGAUUGGUCAGUCUGCUGUGAAAGUCAAAGGCUCAACCUUUGAAAGCCGGUGGAUACUGCCAAUCUAGAGUGCGGAAGAGGCGAGUGGAAUUCCUGGUGUAGCGGUGGAAUGCGCAGAUAUCAGGAAGAACACCGAUAGCGAAGGCAACUCGCUGGGACGCUACUGACACUGAGCGCGAAAGCGUGGGGAGCAAACAGGAUUAGAUACCCUGGUAGUCCACGCCGUAAACGAUGGGUACUAGGUGUGGGAGGUGUCGACUCCUCCCCGUACCGCAGCUAAGCACUAAGUACCCGGCCUGGGGAAUACGGCCACCAGGCUAAAACUCAAGGAAAUGAAGAA